AGUGAACGCUGGCGGUAGGCCUAACACAUGCAAGUCGAACGGCAGCACAGUAAGAGCUUGCUCUUACGGGUGGCGAAUGACGGACGGGUGAGGAAUACAUCGGAAUCUACUUUUUCGUGGGGGAUAACGUAGGGAAACUUACGCUAAUACCGCAUACGACCUACGGGUGAAAGCAGGGGAUCUUCGGACCUUGCGCGAUUGAAUGAGCCGAUGUCGGAUUAGCUAGUUGGCGGGGUAAAGGCCCACCAAGGCGACGAUCCGUAGCUGGUCUGAGAGGAUGAUCAGCCACACUGGAACUGAGACACGGUCCAGACUCCUACGGGAGGCAGCAGUGGGGAAUAUUGGACAAUGGGCGCAAGCCUGAUCCAGCCAUACCGCGUGGGUGAAGAAGGCCUUCGGGUUGUAAAGCCCUUUUGUUGGGAAAGAAAAGCAGCAGGUUAAUACCCCGCUGUUCUGACGGUACCCAAAGAAUAAGCACCGGCUAACUUCGUG
rnacentral:rRNA from 1 species